rnacentral:sRNA from 1 species
UCGACGAUGGUCGGCGAAAUGAAGUGGACGUGCGCGUCGAUGGCGCCGGCCGUCACGAACUUCCCGUUCCCCGCGAUGAUUUCGGUUUCGGGGCCGAUGACGAGGUCGGGGUGGACGCCGUCCAUCGUGUCCGGGUUGCCGGCCUUGCCGAUCCCGGUGAUCCGGCCGUCGCGGAUGCCGAUGUCCGCCUUGACGAUGCCCCAGUGGUCGAUGAUGACGGCGCCGGUGAUGACGGUGUCGGGGGCUCCUUCGGCACGUGUGGUGCGCGCCUGGCCCAUCGACUCGCGA